GACGAACGCUGGCGGCGUGCUUAACACAUGCAAGUCGAACGCUGAAGCUCAGCUUGCUGGGUGGAUGAGUGGCGAACGGGUGAGUAACACGUGAGUAACCUGCCCUCUUCUUUGGGAUAACGCCCGGAAACGGGUGCUAAUACUGGAUAUUCACUGCUUCUCGCAUGGGGGUUGGUGGAAAGGUUUUUUCUGGUGGGGGAUGGGCUCGCGGCCUAUCAGCUUGUUGGUGGGGUGAUGGCCUACCAAGGCUUUGACGGGUAGCCGGCCUGAGAGGGUGACCGGUCACAUUGGGACUGAGAUACGGCCCAGACUCCUACGGGAGGCAGCAGUGGGGAAUAUUGCACAAUGGGCGAAAGCCUGAUGCAGCGACGCCGCGUGAGGGAUGGAGGCCUUCGGGUUGUAAACCUCUUUCGCUCAUGGUCAAGCCGCAGCUUUGGGUUGUGGUGAGGGUAGUGGGUAAAGAAGCGCCGGCUAACUACGUG
rnacentral:rRNA from 1 species